rnacentral:tRNA from 1 species
CUGGUUAGCUUAGUUGGUAGAGCUCUCCACUGGAGAUAGAGAGGUCCCUAGUUCAAUGCCAGGACCAG